UCAAGCGAAUAAGCGCACACGGUGGAUGCCUUGGCGGUCAGAGGCGAUGAAGGACGUGGCAGCCUGCGAAAAGUAUCGGGGAGCUGGCAACAAGCUUUGAUCCGGUAAUGUCCGAAUGGGGAAACCCACCCGCUUGCGGGUAUCCUGCAGUGAAUACAUAGCUGCUGGAAGCGAACCUGGUGAACUGAAAUAUCUAAGUAACCAGAGGAAAAGAAAUCAACCGAGAUUCCCUGAGUAGCGACGAGCGAACGGGGACUAGCCCUUAAGCUGGAAUGGUUCUAGAAAAACAGCCUGGAACGGCUGGCCAUAGAAGGUGAUAGCCCUGUAUUUAAAAGGGCCACUCCAGUGAAGACGAGUAGGGCGGGGCACGUGAAACCCUGUCUGAACAUGGGGGGACCAUCCUCCAAGGCUAAAUACUACUGACCGACCGAUAGUGAACCAGUACCGUGAGGGAAAGGCGAAAAGAACCCCGGAGAGGGGAGUGAAAUAGAUCCUGAAACCGUGUGCGUACAAGCAGUAGGAGCUCGAAAGAGUGACUGCGUACCUUUUGUAUAAUGGGUCAGCGACUUACUGUUCGUGGCAAGCUUAACCGUAUAGGGGAGGCGAAGGGAAACCGAGUCUGAUAAGGGCGCAUAGUCGCGGGCAGUAGACCCGAAACCGGGUGAUCUAGUCAUGGCCAGGGUGAAGGUGCCGUAACAGGUACUGGAGGCCCGAACCCACGUCUGUUGCAAAAGACGGGGAUGAGCUGUGAUUAGGAGUGAAAAGCUAAUCGAACCCGGAGAUAGCUGGUUCUCCUCGAAAGCUAUUUAGGUAGCGCCUCAUAUGUAUCCUCUCGGGGGUAGAGCACUGUUAUGGCUAGGGGGUCAUCGCGACUUACCAAACCAUUGCAAACUCCGAAUACCGAGACGGACUGUAUGGGAGACACACGGCGGGUGCUAACGUCCGUCGUGAAAAGGGAAACAACCCAGACCCACAGCUAAGGUCCCAAAUUCACUGCUAAGUGGAAAACCAUGUGGAAAGGCACAGACAGCCAGGAGGUUGGCUUAGAAGCAGCCACCCUUUAAAGAAAGCGUAAUAGCUCACUGGUCGAGUCGGUCUGCGGGGAAGAUUUAACGGGGCUAAGCAGUGAACCGAAGCUUGGGGUGUGCAUAUUUAUAUGUACGCGGUAGAGGAGCGUUCCGUAAGCCGUUGAAGGUGGAUUGAGAAGUCUGCUGGAGGUAUCGGAAGUGCGAAUGCUGACAUGAGUAACGAUAAUGCGGGUGAAAAACCCGCACGCCGAAAGCCCAAGGUUUCCUUGCGCAACGUUAAUCGGCGCAGGGUGAGUCGGCCCCUAAGGCGAGGACGAAAGUCGUAGUCGAUGGGAAGCAGGUUAAUAUUCCUGCACCUCGCGUAAGUGCGAUGGAGGGACGGAGAAGGUUAGGUGUACCCGGCGUUGGUUGUCCGGGGGAAAGGCGGUAGGUUUGGAUCUUUGGCAAAUCCGGGAUCCUUUAAGACCGAGCACCGAGACGAGCCUUUAAGGCGAAGUCACUGAUACCACGCUUCCAGGAAAAGCUCCUAAGCUUCAGCUUACGCAGACCGUACCGUAAACCGACACAGGUGGGUAGGAUGAGAAUUCUCAGGCGCUUGAGAGAACUCGGGUGAAGGAACUAGGCAACAUGGCACCGUAACUUCGGGAGAAGGUGCGCCCUUUUUGGUGGCUCAUGCGAGCUAUAGCUGAAGAGGGCCGCAGUAACCAGGCCGCUGCGACUGUUUAUCAAAAACACAGCACUCUGCAAACACGAAAGUGGACGUAUAGGGUGUGACGCCUGCCCGGUGCUGGAAGGUUAAUUGAUGGGGUCAGCCGCAAGGCGAAGCUCUUGAUCGAAGCCCCAGUAAACGGCGGCCGUAACUAUAACGGUCCUAAGGUAGCGAAAUUCCUUGUCGGGUAAGUUCCGACCUGCACGAAUGGCGUAACGACAGCGGCGCUGUCUCCACCCGAGACUCAGUGAAAUUGAAAUCGCUGUGAAGAUGCAGCGUUCCCGUGGCAAGACGGAAAGACCCCGUGAACCUUUACUAUAGCUUUACACUGAACGUUGAGUUCGUCUGUGUAGGAUAGGUGGGAGGCUAUGAAACUGUGGCGCUAGCUGCAGUGGAGCCAUCCUUGAAAUACCACCCUGUCGUGCUUGACGUUCUAACCUGGGCCCAUUAUCUGGGUCGGGGACCGUGUAUGGUGGGUAGUUUGACUGGGGCGGUCUCCUCCUAAAGAGUAACGGAGGAGCUCGAAGGUACGCUCAGCGCGGUCGGACAUCGCGCACUGUGUGCAAAGGCAUAAGCGUGCUUGACUGCAAGAUCGACGGAUCAAGCAGGUAGGAAACUAGGACUUAGUGAUCCGGUGGUUCUGUAUGGAAGGGCCAUCGCUCAACGGAUAAAAGGUACUCCGGGGAUAACAGGCUGAUACCGCCCAAGAGUUCAUAUCGACGGCGGUGUUUGGCACCUCGAUGUCGGCUCAUCACAUCCUGGGGCUGUAGUCGGUCCCAAGGGUAUGGCUGUUCGCCAUUUAAAGUGGUACGCGAGCUGGGUUCAGAACGUCGUGAGACAGUUCGGUCCCUAUCUGCCAUGGGCGUUGGAGAUUUGAGAGGGGCUGCUCCUAGUACGAGAGGACCGGAGUGGACGAACCUCUGGUGUUCCGGUUGUCACGCCAGUGGCAUUGCCGGGUAGCUAUGUUCGGAAGCGAUAACCGCUGAAAGCAUCUAAGCGGGAAGCGCGCCUCAAGAUGAGAUCUCCCGGGGCACAAGCCCCCUGAAGGAACCAUAUAGACUAUGUGGUUGAUAGGUCAGGUGUGUAAGUACAGCAAUGUAUUGAGCUAACUGAUACUAAUGAUCCGUGUGGCUUGACCAU
rnacentral:rRNA from 1 species